ensembl:lncRNA
CUUAGGGACUGGGUGGUGGAGCGAUGUUGCAAUAUAAGCCUUAGGGGUUGUGUGUGUGUGAUGGCUCCCACUGAGUGAGCAGAGCUCGAGUGCCAAAUAAAAGGAAGGGUCUGAUGUAAGCCUGCCAAAAACAGCUGUGAGAAAGAUGGAGGAGGGCGUUACAUAGUGUGCAUGUGAGGGGGCAAGAGAUACUGUAGACACCCUGAGAGACACUGAGAGGGAAACUUUGGAAGUGGGAGAGAAUGUGUGGAAAAGAUGGUGUGAGAGACAUGAUUCUGUGUUGGAACUAGACACUAAGACCCUGAGCAACAAGGGGACGUCCUCGAGGCGAAGGGAAACGUAAAAUAAGGAGCAACCUGGACUGGAGACUAAGGAAAAUAAGGGCUAAGAAAGUGUAAGAGGAGAAGGAAAGGAUAUCAAAGGAGGAGUAAAGCAAGUCGAAUGGGUUGUGUCUUUAGCAAGCAGCGGUGGGUUAAAGAGAGGAAUCCCCAGCCCUCGGACCCCCCAAAAACACGAGACCUCACAGAGGAUGCAGAGAUUCUCAGCUUAACAGAGGUAUGCAUGUGUUUGUGCAUGCAGAAGGGGUAAUAUAUAGCUAAGAAGAUCUCCAUGCAAAGAAUACAGUGGGUCUGCCUCAAUGGUUGUUUUAUGUCUUCUGUAAAUCAUUCAAUAGUUGGAAUCGCUAUAGUCAGGGGUUUCAAAAAGUGGUCUGUUGAAUUGGGGGUCCAUGGAGAACAUUACUUACAUGGGUAGUUGGGGAAAAUGGGUUCACACUCCUUUAAAGAGAGGAACUCCAAGAAGAAACACCACUGUGUUGUCUGCAGACAAGCCCUCGACAGCCAUGGCAUGUACUGCAGAGAUGGUAGAAUCAAUUUGUGGUUGUAGUGAGAUGAUCUGUUUGGCACAAAGAGAAAUACUGUAGAAAAGAGAGAAUGAACAAUAUAUGAAUCAAAGUAGAGACAAGAUUGUAACUGACACAUGAGGGAUACAAUCAGGUCUCUGUCCCCAGUGAAGUUAUCUCAGAUCCAUAGAGACAAAAUGGAGUUUUAUGGAGAAGUUGAUGGGCAGUCAUUAUGACUUUGACCUGACAUACAUAACUGAGCGUAUCAUCUCUGUCUGACCUGGAAGACCAGCGUUACAGUGCUAACCUCAAAGAUGUGGCAGCCAUGUUGAAAUCUAAACAUCAAGACAAGUUCUUGGUCAGUUGAACUUCUGUUUAAAAUCACUGCUGAGAUCUAAAGCCAUGUGAAUUAUGGCAUUACGUUGUGACAUCAAACCAAAGGUAUCUUCUUGCUGUUUGAUUAAAAACAGCAUUAUAUGUAUUAUUUCAUUAGUUAGAUUUGCAAGCAAAUUAAUUUAAAAGUAACUGUAUGGCUUGCUUGUUUUGAUGUAUGCCUCUGUUUCUGUAUUUCUGGGAUGACCCAUUCCCUUGCCUCAGGUUGAGAAGUUUGGGUGGCCUGAUCUACAUGCCCCAUCCCUCGAUAAAAUAUGUGCUGUGUGCAAAACCAUGGAGAACUGGCUUAACUCUGACCCCCAGAAUGUGGUUGUACUGUACUGCAAGGGCAGAUCUUGCUCUCUUGACAAUUGCUAUGAGGAAAUUUUGUGAGGAUAAAAUCUCUUCCUCUCUCCAACCAUUUCAGAACAGGUUCAAAAAAGAUGAACAGCUCUCCUCUUUUCCUGCAUAAAAUUCAUAUUCCAGCUUUGCUCAACUACCAGGCAGGAGGUUACUCUCCCUUUUUGAAGCUCUAUCAGUCGUUGCAGCUGGUCUAUUCUUCAGGCAAAUAGUAGUGAUAUUCAGGGUCCUAACAGUAAGAUGCUGUGUGUGAAUAUUAAACCAGCUCUACUGCUGAAGGGAGACAUCUUGAUGACCGAUUCCUUGCAGACGCCACAGUGGAGUUGCUGUUUUCUUCUGGUCUGCAAAGGAGAGGUGGAGAGGUGCAGGGAAAUGAGCCAGGAGUAUCUGUGGAUUAUGGCAGCGCAGAUCCUAUUGUGCGCUGGGACUCGUAUGAGAACUUUAACAUUCACCAAGAGGAUAGUGUUGAGGAUAUCUGUCACAAACAUGGGUCUUUGAACGGUAGUCUGUAUGCUCAAGUGAAGAAGCGUCGAGCACCAGGCUCCAGUCCCAGUGGAUGUCCGACUUCCGUCAAAACCCCCACACAUUCACCCUGUCAUUCCUCCUCUACCCCCAUUCAUCUUUCCAUCCAGCCUCUUUCGCUCAGCAAAGAUGCAAGUCGCUCCUCAGCACCACCCGAAUCCCCCUCUCCACUUCUAAGAGAAAAAAGAGAGAAGGACGAAGACAGGGAAAGACACAGAGAAAAUUCUUGACGAUGGCAACUGCUCUCCCAUGAGACUGGAAUGGCCAGUUCAGUCUUAUGGUCACCUGUAUUCCCACAUUUAUUAAUUCUGUGACCCAGAGCUUGCACAAAUGCUCCAUCCCAAACACCACACACUUCCCUGCAGCCGCACUGCCCCGCUGCCAGUCUGAGACUCGUGUGCAUCCCAGCCGGAUCUUUUAUGGGAGAGAGGGCAAUGUCUGCACCAUCCCUGCCCAGAAACCAUCAGGCACAUGUACUCAUAUCCCACUCACGUAACCCACCUUCAUUCGCCACUUUCCCACUCACAGUCCUCCCAUUCCCACACACUUCCCACACAGACACAUGUGUUCUACUCUGGGGAGGCAUGUCCUGUGUUCUAUUGCUCUGCCCUCCCCUAGGGCCACACCCACAUCCCUUCUUCUCUGUCUCCUACUCAGUCACUGCUCUCCAGUCCAUACCGAGAAUUACAUUACAGCACGACUCCCCCAACAUCGUGCUCCUGUUCUCGCUUACGAGAGGAUGUUGCCCUCCAUUCCUUACACGGCAGAGAAAUAGAAGCUCUCCCUUGGUCUAGAGAGACAGAGUUUGGGAUUAGGAGGGAGGGGCCUGUGCACUGGAGGGAUGAAAGGGCGGAGUCUCAUUGGGAAGGAGCUCAAGAGGCCGAAUACUUGCGGCGCAAAAUAGCAAUGUCACCAGUAAUGUUAUCAUACAGACAUUGCCACACUGUACCAAAACAAGACCAAGCUAUAUAUGUUACAGACACCCAACCCAAACAUAUGACCCCAAUCAGUCCAUAUCCCAGCCCCCAAAGCAGUGGCUAUCACAGCCCUCGUCCACCCUGUCCUUGCACUCCACAACCAUUCAGAGACAGUCCUGGAUACGUCUCCAUCAGUCAUUCGUUAUCCCCCAUUGCUCUCACUCCAUCUCCAAAACAAGCCAGUCACAACAAUGCUUCAGCUGAAGAGAGUCAGCAUAGCAUGAAUAGUAAUCACAUUGACUCAGUUUGGUCAAUAAAUUACAGCUAACAAAUAAUGCAUUCCUUAAACAACUUUUGAUAACACUUCACAAUAAAGUUCAUUAGUUACAGUAUUUAUUCAUCUUAAUGUUAACAUUAAUUAAUAAAAGUAUUGGUAUUGUUCAUGUUAGCUUAGGUCCAUUAAUAUUAACAGAUAAAACUUUGGAUUUUAAUAAUGUAUUAGUAAAUGUUGAAAUUAUUAUGAACUUCAUGUUAACUAAUUUUCAUGUUAACUAAUGUAGUUAACGUUAACAAAUGGAACCUUAUUGUAAAAUGUUAUCAAACAUUUGUGUUUCAAGUAAAUGCUGUUCUUCUGAACUUGAUAUACAUCAAAAUAUCAUGAAACAAAAUAUAUCACAGUUUCCACAAAAAUAUUAAGCAGCACAAAUGUUUUCAUCAUUAAUAAUAAUAAAAAAUGUUUUUAAACAAUAUAAAAUAUAUAAAAAUAGAGAAGAGUUUCAAUUAUACAAUAUAAUAAUAAUUAAUAUAUUUAAUAAUUAAUAAUAUAAUAAUUAAAUUGAAUUAAUAUUUCACAAUAUUACAGUGUUUUUUAUCAAAUUAGUGCAGCCUUGGUGAGCAUAAGCAUUUAAUAAUCGUACUGACCCCAAACUUUUGAAAAGUAAUGUACAUUUAAAGAGAUAGUUCUCCAAAAAAAAAAAAAAAUGAAACCUCUGUUCAUCACUCUGAAGUUGUCCAAGCCAGAUUUUUAUUUUAUUUAUUUAUUUAUUUUUUUUUUUUGUGGAACACAAAAGGAGAUAUUUUGUAGAAUGUAAACACUGUUCUUUCCUAUACACAAAAUUUGUUGGUGAUUGAUAAUGUCAAGCUUUAAAAGAGACACAAAAAUACCAUAAAUGUAACAUUUAUUUUAAUUUAUUUAUUUUUCCCCAGCUUUUUUCUCUUUCCUAAUCUAUUGUUGUGUAUUUUGUAGAUGGGCGUAUAGAGGUUUUAGAUGCUGAUAAAAGUCACAUUGAGGCCUUUUCACCUCCUGUUAAUCUCUCAGCAACAGUUAAUUUUGAUAGUUGAACGUUGAUUUUAAUGUGAUAUCAAGUAAAUUCUUCUGCGUAUUCUAACAGCAGACCAAUGGAGGUGGGAGAACCAAUGAAAAGCAAAGUUCUAGAAAGUAGAACAUUCCCUGGGUCUCUGAUCAAUGUUGUCUCGGCUAUCAGUGGCACAGAGGAAAAUACAAAGAAAACAACCAUCACAGAUUGUAAAUCUAACACCCCUCUCAUUAGUAACCCACCAUCAUCCAAGGUUGUGGAGUCAGUGCAGGUACAAACACACAACCCCAAACCUCUCAGUACCAGCAUCCUGGAAUCAGAGCAGGAUAAAGAGGAGUGCCCCGGCUCAUGCUACACCUCAACUUCAACCUCAACAAGUCCUCAACCUCCACUUUGCUCUUCAGAAAGAAGCUCUGCUUCUAAAUUCCCUUCAUUUAACAUAAAUUCUGAAAUGCAAAGCAUGACAACAGUGACUUGACUGCAACGUCCUCUGACCCUGAUGGCUACGUCACACCCUUAUUCCCUAGAGCAGUGGUUCCCAGCCCUGGUCCUGGAGAACCCCCAACACUGCACAUUUAAGAUGUCUCCCUAUUCAAACACACCAGAUUCAACUCAUCAGCUCAUUAGUGAAGACUCCAAGACCUCAAAUGUGUGUGUCAGAUAAGAGCCACCAAAAGCAUGCAGUGUUGGGGGUUCUCCAGGACCAGGAUUGGAAACCACUGCCCUAGAGCAUACAGCUACCCUCUUCUGAUGGAGCCUCAUGUACCCUAUACAGGCUAUACUGAGAUUACCUUCAGAACGUGUCUGAAUGCACUAGCUCUUCAUCAGCAAAGUCAGCUGAAAAACCUGUGACUUCCUUUGCCCAGUUCCAUGUGUCCUUCUCCACUACUAACAAUGAAUUGCUCCCACAUCUAAAUGCAAAGUAACCCCCUCUAGUGGCAUUGAGGAGCCAGAGAACCGCCUCAGCCCCAAGUUUGUUCAAAACAGCUCCAAGUAUUGGAACAAACCUGGCAUCUCCAGAGACCAGGCCAUCGCAGUAUUAAAAGAUAAGGAGCCUGGCUGCUUCCUCAUUAGGGAUAGUAAUUCAUUCCAAGGCGCAUAUGGAUUGGCUCUGAAAGUCAGCACACCUCCAGUCCACGCUAGUAACCACGGAGAGACAGGCAACCCACAGGAGCAGCUAGUUAGGCACUUUCUGAUUGAGAGUGGUCCUCAAGGAGUGAAGAUCAAAGGCUGUCAAAAUGAAACAUAUUUCAGUGAGACAAAAAAAGGCUGUGGUGUAUCAGCACUCCAUUACUCCUGUGUCUCUUCCUUGUGUUUUACGAAUCCCAGAUAGAGAUCUUGAAAGGGAAUUGCAAGAGUUGCAAAGUGGAACUAAUACCAGCACAGCUGCAGAUCUAUUAAAACAGGGGGCAGCUUGUAAUGUUCUCUACCUAAACACUGGCCCACAAGACGCCUCCAAGGCAACCGAGUGCACUUUGCCCCAGGACCCUCGUCCUUCACCAACAGUCAUACACUUCAAAGUGUGCACACAAGGCAUCACCCUCACUGAUAACCAGCGCAGACUGUUUUUCACAAUGUGACUUCCAGCAGUGUGGCUCCACUGGAUCAAAGGUGGAUUGAUGCUGAUAACACUUCCAGCAAGAUGUUUGGAUUUGUUGCACGGCGCAGCAGUGAAUUGGGAAAUGUGUGUCACCUGUUUGCAGAGCUGGACUCAGAGCAGCCAGCCACGGCCAUUGUGAACUUCAUCAAUAAAGUCAUGCUGGGACCUCAACAGCUGCGAAAAUGAACACAGUAUAGGAGAGAUGGAGAAAAACAAAACAGAGAGAGCAAAGGACAAGAUGGUAUCGCUGUGGAUAUUGUCACGUUUAUAUACAGAAUGAGAGAAGUGUUUCUCAUUAGGAUACACAAAACUGAUUCAGUAUGCAAACUUUGUCUUUUUCUGUCAUGUUCACAUAUAGUGUAAAUCAGUGAGAUUAGGUCAUGUUGAAAUUGAGUGCAUUAUGAAGUGAUUUCAAAUUAAACUUCUUUUAUUAAAUAAAAAUGAAAUGUACAAGAAAUACAACAAAUGGAUAUUCCUGGUAAAGUAUAUCUAAUGGAUAAAUAAACGAGAGAGAAAGUUUUUAACACUCAAACCUAUCUUUGCUUUUAUACUACCACUCAGGAUGCCAAAGCUCAAUGACUGUUAUUGUGUUGUGUUUUUAUUUUCAUUGAUUUUGUGUGUGCUUGUUUUCAGUUAAAUGGUCAGAUCUUUUGGUUGUUCGUUUUCUGUUCAAAAUGCCCUUUAUAAGACACAAAGUCAUAUUUUUAGCAACUGUUGCAUUUUUAAAUUCAUACUUUUUAGUAUUUAAAUAAAAUAUUACAAAAAU